rnacentral:tRNA from 1 species
CAGUGUGUGGUGAAGUGGUUUAACACGAGCGACUGUGACUCGCUUAUUCGAGGGUUCGAAUCCCUUCAUGCUGAUAG